rnacentral:piRNA from 1 species
UGCUUUCCCAUGGGUCCUG